rnacentral:lncRNA from 1 species
AAAAACAGCACCAAAAAAAGUCAUGUCACCUUUCCUGACCAGUGAUGCAGCUUCCAUUCUACCACAUUCCAUUCAUCAAGAAUGUGAUGGUUGGAGCUGUUGUAGCUGUAUUACAACCAGGAGGAAAGACUUUGCUGACGUACUAAGGAUGGAAACUAAAAAAAGUUCUUUAGAUCAAGAGGAACUACUUGAAGAGCAGCACUCAACAAAUCUGCACAUCGACCUGGUUUAAAUGCUAAGAUCCUGCCCUUGUAGAUUCGAUGCCAUAAUGAUGAGACUUUCACAAGGUCAAGGGAGAAGUGUGAAAGAGGACUAAUACGUUCCCCAUCAAGCCUCCAGAUGAGAACCCUGUCCUGACCAACAUUUUGAUUGCAGCUUUGCAGAGGACCGAGAUAAACCAUAACUAGACUCCUCACCCAUAGACACUGUGAGAUAAUAAAUGUGUGGUGUUUUAUACUGCUAUAUUUGUAUGCAACUCUGA